UUGAACGCUGGCGGAAUGCUUUACACAUGCAAGUCGAGCGGCAGCGCGGGGGCAACCCUGGCGGCGAGCGGCGAACGGGUGAGUAACAUAUCGGAACGUACCCUGUCGUGGGGGAUAACACAUCGAAAGGUGUGCUAAUACCGCAUACGACCUGAGGGUGAAAGCGGGGGAUCGCAAGACCUCGCGCGACAGGAGCGGCCGAUGUCGGAUUAGCUAGUUGGUGGGGUAAAGGCCUACCAAGGCGACGAUCCGUAGCUGGUCUGCGAGGACGACCAGCCACACUGGGACUGAGACACGGCCCAGACUCCUACGGGAGGCAGCAGUGGGGAAUUUUGGACAAUGGGCGCAAGCCUGAUCCAGCCAUUCCGCGUGAGUGAAGAAGGCCUUCGGGUUGUAAAGCUCUUUCGGCCGGGACGAAAUCGCACGGGUCAAUACCCUGUGUGGAUGACGGUACUGGAAGAAGAAGCACCGGCUAACUACGU
rnacentral:rRNA from 1 species